AGCGAACGCUGGCGGCAUGCUUAACACAUGCAAGUCGCACGGGCAGUAGCAAGUACUGUCAGUGGCGGACGGGUGAGUAACGCGUAGGAAUCUAUACCUUGGAAAUGGGGGACAACCGUGGGAAACUACGGCUAAUACCGCAUGAUGCCUGAGGCCAAAGACGAAAGUCGUUGAGGAGGAGCCUGCGUCUGAUUAGGUAGUUGGUGGGGUAAAGGCCUACCAAGCCUACGAUCAGUAGCUGGUCUGAGAGGAUGAUCAGCCACAUUGGGACUGAGACACGGCCCAAACUCCUACGGGAGGCAGCAGUGGGGAAUAUUGGACAAUGGGCGCAAGCCUGAUCCAGCAAUGCCGCGUGGGUGAAGAAGGUCUUCGGAUUGUAAAGCCCUUUUGGCGGGGACGAUGAUGACGGUACCCGCAGAAUAAGCUCCGGCUAACUUCGUG
rnacentral:rRNA from 1 species